AAGGUGAAAAGCACCCCGGAAGGGGAGUGAAAUAGUUCCUGAAACCAUGUGCCUACAAUUAGUUGGAGCCCGUUAAUGGGUGACAGCGUGCCUUUUGUAGAAUGAACCGGCGAGUUACGUUAACAUGCAAGGUUAAGAUGAAAAGUCGGAGCCGUAGCGAAAGCGAGUCUGAAACGGGCGUUUCAGUAUGUUGAUGUAGACCCGAAACCAGGUGACCUACCCAUGUCCAGGGUGAAGGUGCGGUAAAACGCACUGGAGGCCCGAACCCGUGUACGUUGAAAAGUGCUGGGAUGAGGUGUGGGUAGCGGUGAAAUUCCAAACGAACUUGGAGAUAGCUGGUUCUCUCCGAAAUAGCUUUAGGGCUAGCCUCGGAUGAAGAAUCGUGGAGGUAGAGCACUGUUUGGACUAGGGGCCCGUCAUGGGUUACUGAAUUCAGAUAAACUCCGAAUGCCAUAGAUUUAUAUCCGGGAGUCAGACGGUGAGUGAUAAGAUCCAUCGUCGAAAGGGGAACAGCCCAGACCACCAAUUAAGGUCCCUAAGUGUAUCCUAAGUGGAAAAGGCGGUGAAGUUGCAUAGACAGCUAGGAUGUUGGCUCAGAAGCAGCCACCAUUUAAAGAGUGCGUAAUAGCUCACUAGCCGAGUGAUUUUGCGCCGAAAAUGUACCGGGGCUAAGGAUACCACCGAAAUUGUGGAUGCAACCAUUAGGUUGCGUGAUAGGAGAGCGUUCUAAGGGCGGUGAAGCUAGAUCGUAAGGACUAGUGGAGCGCUUAGAAGUGAGAAUGCCGGUAUGAGUAGCGAAAGAUCAGUGAGAAUCUGAUCCACCGAAUGACUAAGGUUUCCUGGGGAAGGCUCGUCCUCCCAGGGUUAGUCGGGACCUAAGUCGAGGCCGCAAGGCGUAGACGAUGGCCAACAGGUUGAUAUUCCUGUACUAGUAAGAUAUGUUUGAGCGAUGGAGGGACGCAGGAGGCUAAGCCGUGCGCACUGUUGGAUAUGUGCGUUCAAGCAGCAAGUCUGGUUGUUAGUUAAAUGCUUACAACCGUGUAGACAAGCUGUGAUGAGGACCGAAUUUAAGUAGGGAAGUGGCUGACGUCACACUGCCGAGAAAAGCUUCUAGUGAGUAUCUUACUACCCGUACCGCAAACCGACACAGGUAGUCGAGGAGAGAAUCCUAAGGUGAGCGAGUGAACUCUCGUUAAGGAACUCGGCAAAAUGACCCCGUAACUUCGGGAGAAGGGGUGCUGCACGCAAGUGCAGCCGCAGUGAAGAGGCCCAGGCGACUGUUUAUCAAAAACACAGGUUUCUGCAAAAUCGUAAGAUGACGUAUAGGGGCUGACGCCUGCCCGGUGCUGGAAGGUUAAGUGGAUGAGUUAGCUUCGGCGAAGCCCAAAAAUGAAGCCCCAGUAAACGGCGGCCGUAACUAUAACGGUCCUAAGGUAGCGAAAUUCCUUGUCGGGUAAGUUCCGACCCGCACGAAAGGCGUAACGAUCUGGGCACUGUCUCAACGAGAGACUCGGUGAAAUUAUAGUACCUGUGAAGAUGCAGGUUACCCGCGACAGGACGGAAAGACCCCAUGGAGCUUUACUAUAGCUUGAUAUUGGGUGUUGACACAACUUGUACAGGAUAGGUCGGAGCCGUAGAAGCCGGAACGCUAGUUUCGGUGGAGGCGCUGGUGGGAUACGACCCUUGUUGUGUGAACACUCUAACCCGCGCCACUCAGCGUGGCGGGAGA
rfam:Lactobacillus silagei DNA, scaffold: sequence25, strain: IWT126.